rnacentral:tRNA from 1 species
GGUGGCUCAGUGAUAGAGUACUUGCCUUGCAUGCAUGAGGCACGGGGUUCGAUUCCUCAGCACCA